UGUGAUGGGGAUGAAGAUUGCAGCCAAGACGGGUCUUGCCCAAAUGGAUGUGCCAGUGGAUGGGAUGGGGAGUAUUGUCAGCGUGGUAAUGUUGCUGCAGGAAAGUCUUCAGACGCAUCACAGGGAACAACCUAUGGCACGCAUUACGCCUCUUUGGCUCUGGAUGGUUAUACGAAUCAGGCGUUUUCAAGAUGCAGUCAUACCAACCAACGCGAACAUUGGUGGCAGGUGGAUUUAGGGAGGGACUAUGUUCUAUUUACAGUGACAAUAUGGACAAUGGCUGAAAGUGAGUGCAAGAAAAAUACGAUAGGUACAGAAUACAAGGGAACACAGAAUACAACGUUGAUGGGUUUCACCUGUGCGGAUUGGCUUGUAUUCGAGAAAGCCAGAUAUAGGCCGGCUGACUCCUACAAUUACUGUCGGAACCCAGACGGUGACGCUCGUGGACCUUGGUGCUAUAUUACAGCCACAGACCCACCUCCCUAUGAUAAC